rnacentral:rRNA from 1 species
GAGCACGUAGGUGGGUUUGUAAGUCAGAUGUGAAAGCCUUCUGUUCAACGGAAGAAUUGCAUCUGAAACUGCGAGUCUUGAGUGUAGGAGGGGAGAAUGGAACUUCUGGUGGAGCGGUGAAAUGCGUAGAUAUCAGAAGGAACUCCGGCGGCGAAAGCGAUUCUCUGGCCUAUUACUGACACUCAGUGUGCGAAAGCUAGGGGAGCAAACAGGAUUAGAUACCCCGGUAGUCCUAGCCGUAAACGAUGGGCACUAAGUAGAGGGGUUUU